rnacentral:rRNA from 1 species
AAGAGCUUGCUCUUUAUGAAAUCCAGUGGCAAACGGGUGAGUAACACGUAAACAACCUGCCUUCAGGAUGGGGACAACAGACGGAAACGACUGCUAAUACCGAAUACGAUUCUUGAGUCGCAUGACACAAGAAAGAAAGGGUGGCCUCUACUUGUAAGCUAUCGCCUGAAGAGGGGUUUGCGUCCGAUUAGGUAGUUGGUGAGGUAACGGCCCACCAAGCCGACGAUCGGUAGCCGGUCUGAGAGGAUGAACGGCCACAUUGGAACUGAGACACGGUCCAGACUCCUACGGGAGGCAGCAGUGGGGAAUCUUCCGCAAUGGGCGAAAGCCUGACGGAGCAACGCCGCGUGAGUGAAGACGGCCUUCGGGUUGUAAAACUCUGUGAUUCGGGACGAAAGAUAAGUAGACGAAUAAUCUGCAUAAGUGACGGUACCGAAAAAGCAAGCCACGGCUAACUACGUGCCAGCAGCCGCGGUAAUACGUAGGUGGCAAGCGUUGUCCGGAAUUAUUGGGCGUAAAGCGCGCGCAGGCGGCUACUUAAGUCCAUCUUAAAAGUGCGGGGCUUAACCCCGUGAUGGGAUGGAAACUGAGAAGCUGGAGUGUCGGAGAGGAAAGUGGAAUUCCUAGUGUAGCGGUGAA